rnacentral:lncRNA from 1 species
GAGGAGUUCCCCUGCAAAAGCUCUUUCUCAUUCUCUCUCUUUCCCUGCUGCCAUCCACGUAAGAUGUGACUUCUGCCAUGAUUGUGAGGCUUCCCCAGCCACGUGGAACUGCCUGCAUGUGUUUCAGGUCACACUCAGGAGGACAGACAUGGGCAAGAGGCCUGCAGGUCUAGGAAGCAGGCUCAAGACCACUUGGGUGGGGAACUGUGGUUUCCCAGGUACCUGGAGCAUGGUCUAGGAGUGGGGCUUGCAAGCUCCAG